CUACGGAGGGUGCGAGCGUUAAUCGGAAUUACUGGGCGUAAAGCGUGCGUAGGCGGUUUGCUAAGUCAGAUGUGAAAGCCCCGGGCUUAACCUGGGAACUGCAUUUGAUACUGGCAGACUAGAGUAUGAUAGAGGGGGGUAGAAUUCCUGGUGUAGCGGUGAAAUGCGUAGAUAUCAGGAGGAAUACCAGUGGCGAAGGCGGCCCCCUGGAUCAAUUCUGACGCUGAGGUACGAAAGCGUGGGGAGCGAACAGGAUUAGAAACCCUUGUAGUCC
rnacentral:rRNA from 1 species